CGUCUCUAAUCGAGCAAGCAACUAAAUCCGUUUCGUUAAAAUAAACGUUUACUUUCGUCGAAUUUUUUAUCUCGUCUGGUGGAUUUUCAGAUGUCCUAACGAGAAUUUCCCGAAAUAUAAAAGCGAAAAAAUUAUGGAUAUUCAACCCGUCACAAACACCCACACGGUCGCACUCCUACCUGAGAUUUUACGAAAUGUGACCUCCUUUUUGCCAACGACCAACCUGAUCGUGUGCACCCAGGUCAACUCAGGAUGGGAAGAUGCAGCCAGAAUUCAUCUCCGCGCCCGCGUCAUGGUCACCUUGUCGGCUGAAUGUAGCAAAAGUUAUUUAAAUGUGAUGCACGUCCGAUCAAAUUACUACAAACGGAUCGAGUUAUGUUGGAAACGCGAUGAACAAUUUCCCCAGUUUCUCCCGCAGUUUAAACAUUUCGCUGAACAGUGCCGGGGUAAAGUGAGACACAUGAGUACCGAAUUCUUCCUGGGUGGGGGACCAGACUCGGAGGAAUUUUUACACAUUAUCAAAACUCUAGGGACGCAAGUGACAUCGCUGAACCUGGAACUAUUCUCCGUGUAUCCUAACGAAGCAGACUAUUCUUCGUUGAUGUGAAAUCUCAACUAUUUUUCCCUGGCCCUUGUCCAACACCAACGUCCCUGCCAAACAUCAAUAUUACGAGGUAUUCUGGAACCUGGUAUCUCUAUCAAACCUAUGCGUCCACCGUGCAAUUAUUCUUCUCCUGUCAACUUGGAGAAUAUUACCCACCACGUGCGGAUGGGACUUGGGAUGGUGUAACAAGAAUGACGGAACGAAUGACCGGAAAUAUAAUAUCAGUUCCUGGCACUGUAAAAUUCUUUAGUACUGAUGGCUCUGCCGUUUUUACGUCGGAUAAUCACCUCUUUUCAGGAAAUUUGCCAAAUAUUGGAAUUAAUUCUCCGGCGGGAGUAACGCUUACAAUAAAUUACAUCGUGUUAGCAACGGAUUAUUCCUCCUACGCGGUAGAAUGGACCUGUUAUGACUUUGGGAUUUCGAACUUCCAGUUCUUGUGGAUAUUCUCCAGAGGGGCAACGAUUUCUCAGAGCAAUUUACAGAAUAUUCGAAAAGCAUUGAAUUCUCAAAGGAUUAAUUCUGCCUGGUUAAGGGAUCAAGACUUAAGUGGGUGUCACUUUUUGUAGUGACAGGGUUUCCAUUAAUAUGAGAAUAAUUAUAUUUACGAAGUAUAAAAAAUAAUAUUCUACAUUUGUUACGAACAAUCUUAAAUAAAA